rnacentral:rRNA from 1 species
GAUGAACGCUGGCGGCGUGCCUAAUACAUGCAAGUCGAGCGAACAGACGAGGAGCUUGCUCCUCUUACGUUAGCGGCGGACGGGUGAGUAACACGUGGAUGACCUACCUAUAAGACUGGGAUAACUUCGGGAAACCGGAGCUAAUACCGGAUAAUAUAUUGAACCGCAUGGUUCAAUAGUGAAAGACGGUUUUGCUGUCACUUAUAGAUGUAUCCGCGCCGCAUUAGCUAGUUGGUAAGGUAACGGCUUACCAAGGCAACGAUGCGUAGCCGACCUGAGAGGGUGAUCGGCCACACUGGAACUGAGACACGGUCCAGACUCCUACGGGAGGCAGCAGUAGGGAAUCUUGCGCAAUGGGCGAAAGCCUGACGGAGCAACGCCGCGUGAGUGAUGAAGGUCUUCGGAUAGUAAAACUCUGUUAGUAGGGAAGAACAAAUGUGUAAGAAACUAUGCACGUCUUGACGGUACCUAAUCAGAAAGCCACGGCUAACUACGUG